rnacentral:pre_miRNA from 1 species
AGUGCGAUUGCUGGGUUGUAUGAUGAGUGUGUGUGUUUCAUUUUUUAAGAAACUGGCACAUUGUUUUCUAGAGUGGCUGCACCAUUUUACAUUCCCACCAGCAAU